rnacentral:tRNA from 1 species
AUAUUUGUAGUCCAACGGUUAGUAUAAUUGCAUUCCAAGCAAUCGACCCCGGGUUCGACUCCCGACGCAAUUG